rnacentral:lncRNA from 1 species
GACAUCCGCGGGGGAGCCAUCCGCUUCUCUUCUGUCUUUGACAACCAGUACUUUUAGAAUGAGUGAGUGCUUUGCAUUACAAAGAUCCGGUCCAACAUGCCUGCAGUCCGCACAGCCGUGUCCCACCGACCAGCUGUGGUGACGCCAGUCGCCAACAGCUACAGCGCUUUUCCAGGAGGCUUCAGUUAUUCUGUGACUGGUGACCAAGGCACGACACAUCACCCAGCAACUCACAAUUUCGCUGGCGGAGAGUGUUGCUGAGCAGCUGACCAACUGCGGCUGCUGGAGCGUUUCUCAGUCGUCGACCUCCGUAGACUGUCAAGCCUCCCUGGCCUUCUGCGACUCAAGAAGGAGGGAUUUUUAUCUGUGUUUACCAUACAAGAGACAUUUUAAUCUGACGAUUCGAUCGGAUCUGGAUCAUGAAUCCCGAGGCGGUGUGACAGAUGGUCGAGGCCGGCGCGCCACGCCAGACGCCUUCUCGCGCGGGGCGUGCUCAGGUCAGUCAGGUUGCGCUGCCGGACUCUGCUCCGAGGAGAGAAGCACAUAAGCGCAGUCAGGACGCGAGUGUGGUACUGGUUGCACCGCCCCGGUCCCAGCAACCGCAUGGCGGUGGGGACUCACAGCCCGGCUGAUGGUUCCAGAUCGUCUCAGCGCAGCUUCUUCUCCGGACCCCGGCGCGGCAGCGAGGCUGGUGGUUCGGAGCCGACUGAUGGAGGACAGCAAAAGAACAGCAGGACAGGACAGCACCCUAACAGUAGCCUUCGGUCAUGUGGCGAGAGCUGGGCCCCGGACCGGUCGAAAGGGUGCUCACUGCUCAGCUGAGUGGGUAAUGUCCGCGUCUCGUUAGUGUCCCCGGCCAGGUCCUGAAGGGUAGAUGAGGGCGGGAUAUUCUCCUUUAUAGACGCAGAGCAAUGCCAGAAGAAUGGUUUUGCGAUCGAGUUGCAUGCGCUGUCCCUGCCUGUCGCUCCAACUGCCGCCGGCGGGGUUGGCGCUAAUGGCCAUUGACGGGGCUGCUGUGUUUGUAAAUUAGGUUGGAUGGACCCCUGCUCUCAGAGUUUUGUGUUGGUCGCUGGUAACCCAUGUUUUGUGGCCAGCGUGUUACGAACCCACGUAGUGGUUUGACCCCGUGGGGUGCUGUGAGACAGCGCGGAGCGACGCGUGGAUGCUGCUGAAACACGCUGAUGUUUGUGUGUACCUAUCGUCAUUUUGAAGUGCUGCUUGAGUUUGCUCGUUUGUUCUGUCUUACUGUUUUGUGUUUUCUACCAAGCUAAUGUCGAUAAGAUUGUUCAAUAAAGUUUGAGUUGAGA